UCAGUUUUCAGGUUUCAAAGUUGAAGUUUAGUUCAGAAAGUAACUAUUAGUUUUCCUUAAAUUAAAAAAAAACCAAAAAAAAUAUAUAUAGAAAACAUCAAAAAUCCAAAUAAAAAGUCACUGUUUCAUUGGUUGUGAGAAGCUUCUGGUUUUUCCUUUAGUAUUCUGCUUUCAGUCAGGCCUAGGAGUUGUUGGAAUUGGUUUGGGGUUUGUUCCUGCUGGGUUUUAGUUGUUUCGUGGGUGUUCUGGGUUAUAUACUGGUUGUAAAACUUUCUGGGUUCAUUUAAAGGUCGUUUGAUUUGCUUCGAAAUUGUUUUGGUUGAUUUGUGGUUUUUAAAAAGCAUUCUUUAGAUUUCUUAUAUUUUUCCUGGGCUGCAUUCGAACAUUUGUUGAUUACUGCUGCUGGUUGUGACUGCUAUUGGUUAUCUGUUGCUGCUGACCUCUUUUUCUUCGUACUUGUGCUCAAUUCCAGGUAAAUUUUCAGCUCCAAACUGAUGUAGGAAGGAUUGAAUCAGUCACUAUGAAUGGAUAUAUGAAGAAAUAGCACAAGGCUCCUUUUAAUUUGAUGUUAGCUUGUUUGUAAUCACGUCAGUUUGAUUGUUAAAAUUACAGUAGCAAUAAUAGAUAUUCUUAUGAUUAAAGCACUUUUAUUAUUUGUAAUUAAUGAACUGUAGUGGACUGAUCAAUUUCGAAUUUGUGUUCAUUUGUUCUAAGAAGAGUAAUCUAGUAUAUGGUAGCUUGGCUUUCUGUGUUGAUUGCUUCUUAUGUUGAAAGAUGGUGUAG
rnacentral:lncRNA from 1 species